rnacentral:rRNA from 1 species
AUUGAACGCUGGCGGCAGGCUUAACACAUGCAAGUCGAACGAGUGGCGGACGGGUGAGUAAUGCUUGGGAAUCUAGCUUACGGAGGGGGAUAACUACGGGAAACUGUCGCUAAUACCGCGUACCAUAGGAUGAGCCCAAGUGGGAUUAGGUAGUUGGUGGGGUAAAGGCUCACCAAGCCGACGAUCUCUAGCUGGUCUGAGAGGAUGACCAGCCACACUGGGACUGAGACACGGCCCAGACUCCUACGGGAGGCAGCAGUGGGGAAUAUUGCGCAAUGGGGGCAACCUGACGCAGCCAUGCCGCGUGAAUGAAGAAGGCCUUCGGGUUGUAAAGUUCUUUCGGUAGCGAGGCGUUAACUACAGAAGAAGCACCGGCUAACUCCGUGCCAGCCGCCGCGGUAAUAC